AAUCAGGUAGGAAUACCCGCUGAACUUAAGCAUAUCAAUAAGCGGAGGAAAAGAAACCAACAGGGAUUGCCCCAGUAACGGCGAGUGAAGCGGCAACAGCUCAAAUUUGAAAUCUGGCCCCCCGGGGCCCGAGUUGUAAUUUGCAGAGGAUGCUUUUGGCGAGGCGCCUUCCGAGUUCCCUGGAACGGGACGCCAUAGAGGGUGAGAGCCCCGUCUGGUCGGACGCCGAGCCUCUGUAAAGCUCCUUCGACGAGUCGAGUAGUUUGGGAAUGCUGCUCUAAAUGGGAGGUAUAUGUCUUCUAAAGCUAAAUACCGGCCAGAGACCGAUAGCGCACAAGUAGAGUGAUCGAAAGAUGAAAAGCACUUUGAAAAGAGGGUUAAAUAGUACGUGAAAUUGUUGAAAGGGAAGCGCUUGUGACCAGACUUGGGCCCGGCGGAUCACCCAGCGUUCUCGCUGGUGCACUCCGGCGCGGCCCAGGCCAGCAUCAGCUCGUCCCGGGGGACAAAGGCGGCGGGAAUGUGGCUCCUCCGGGAGUGUUAUAGCCCGCCGCGCAAUGCCCUGGGGCGGGCUGAGGACCGCGCAUCUGCAUGGAUGCUGGCGUAAUGGUCAUCAGCGACCCGUCUUGAA
rnacentral:rRNA from 1 species